GCCUGUUUAUCAAAAACAUGGCUUUUUGAUAAUAAUUUAAAGUCUGGCCUGCCCACUGAGUAUUUAAAGGGCCGCGGUAAUUUGACCGUGCUAAGGUAGCAUAAUCAUUAGUUUUUUAAUUGAAAGCUGGUAUGAAUGGUCGGAUAAGAAAAUAACUGUCUCUAUUUAAUUUUAUUUGAAUUUUAUUUUUAAGUAAAAAAGCUUAAAUUAAAUUAAAAGACGAGAAGACCCUAUAGAGUUUUAUAAAAUUUUAAAUUUAAAUUUUUAGAAUUAUAAUUUUGUAUUUAAAAUUUUAUUUGAUUGGGGCGAUUGAAAAAUUUGAUAAACUUUUUUUAUAUAAGAACAUUAAUUUAUGAAUUUUUGAUCCAUUAAUGUAUGAUUAUAAGAUUAAAUUACCUUAGGGAUAACAGCGUAAUUUUUUUUGAGAGUUCAAAUCGAAAAAAAAGUUUGCGACCUCGAUGUUGGAUUAAAAUUAAUUUUUGGUGUAGAAGCUAAAAAAUUAGGUCUGUUCGACCUUU
rnacentral:rRNA from 1 species